rnacentral:rRNA from 1 species
AUUGAACGCUGGUGGCAGGCUUAACACAUGCAAGUCGAGCGGAGAUGAGGUGCUUGCACCUUAUCUUAGCGGCGGACGGGUGAGUAAUGCUUAGGAAUCUGCCUAUUAGUGGGGGACAACAUUCCGAAAGGAAUGCUAAUACCGCAUACGUCCUACGGGAGAAAGCAGGGGAUCUUCGGACCUUGCGCUAAUAGAUGAGCCUAAGUCGGAUUAGCUAGUUGGUGGGGUAAAGGCCUACCAAGGCGACGAUCUGUAGCGGGUCUGAGAGGAUGAUCCGCCACACUGGGACUGAGACACGGCCCAGACUCCUACGGGAGGCAGCAGUGGGGAAUAUUGGACAAUGGGGGGAACCCUGAUCCAGCCAUGCCGCGUGUGUGAAGAAGGCCUUAUGGUUGUAAAGCACUUUAAGCGAGGAGGAGGCUACUGAGACUAAUACUCUUGGAUAGUGGACGUUACUCGCAGAAUAAGCACCGGCUAACUCUGUGCCAGCAGCCGCCGUAAGAC